rnacentral:lncRNA from 10 species
ACAUGGCAAUCCCCAUGCUAGGCACUGGAAACACAGAAGUUAAUAAAACAGACAAGGACCCUGCCACGUGAAGCUUGCAUUUUAUUGGAAGAAGAAAAAUAUUAAACAAAUAAAUACAAUAAAGACGUAUAUAAUAGCAUAGUAUCAGAUAAUGAUAGUUGAUUUUAAGAAAAUGAAACAGGAUAACAGAAUGGACAGUGAGGGCAGGUAUUUGAUUAGGAUGGUUGAAGAAGACCUCUCUGAGAAGAUAACAUUUGAAUAGAGGUGUGGAUGAUAGAAAGAAGCUGGCCAGGAAAAAGGGAUGGAAGAACAGCUUUCUGGACAGAGAGACCAGCUAGUGACGAGGCUUAAUAGAAAGAGUUUGACAUGGAGCAGGACGGGCAAGGAAAUUAACGUCUGAGCCCCAUGGGCAAUAAUUGUUCCUGUACCGUCUGCACAGUGUUUCUCAGGCUGCCUAUCAGACUGUGAAACGCUUUUACGGGAGAGGGCGCCUGAGUGAAGAGCUCGCAGGCUGAGAAUGCAUAGGACAAAGCACAUCAUGGGCGAAGUGUAGAAAAGCAUACAGCUGCAGAAACAAAUGAAGUGUGAUUAGAGGAGCCACAGUCACUGCUGAGGGGGCGAAUAUGAAAAACAAGGGAUGAAUAUUCAGAGACAGUAAGUCCUCGUGGUUGAGAGCUCAGGCUUGAAUCAGACUGACCCAUCCCAUGCCAGCUCUUCCCCUGAAUAGCCGUGUGACCUAGGACAAGUGGCUUAACACCUCUAUGUCUUGUUUCUCCAUUGAUAUAAUGAAGAUAACCAUAGCACCUAAUGCAUAAGCUGCUGUGAGGUUUGGUUGUUGCUUAUUGUUGUUUGAGACAGGGUAUUGCUCUGUUUCCCAGGCUGGAGCGCAGCGGGACGAUAUCGGCUCACUGCAACUUCCACCUCCUGAGUUCAAGUGAUUCUCCUGACUCAGCCUCCAGAGUAGCUGAGACCACAGGCGCUCGCCACCAUGCCCGGCUAAUUUUUGUAUUUUUUGUAGAGAUUGGUUUCACAGUGUUUCCCAGGCUGGUCUCAAACUCCUGACCUCAAGUGAUCCACCAGCUUCAGCCUCCCAAAAUGCUGGGAUUACAGACAUAAGCCAUUGUGCCCAGCCUAUUGUAAGGUUUAAAUGAGUUGGUGUGUUAAAAAAAAUAAUAAUAAUAGAAUAGUAUCAGGCAAGUAAUAAUCUCUUGGUAAAUAUUUAGCUUUAUUUCCAAGCCUUAGGAGAGUUUAAGAAUGAGUUCAAAAAUCACACGAAGUGAAGCAUGGGCUAAUAUUCACAACUACUCUUUAUCCUUACCCAAGGACAUUUUUAGUAGACACACACACACACACACACACACACACACACACACACAGUGUCAAUCCAAUCAUGGACCUGGCUGGGGUAGGGUUAGGAAUACAUUUCAGGAGAAGCCUAGUACGUUUCAACUGAAAAAUAAUAACCAGAGAUUAAAGAACUGUGUUAUGGCUCCAGAGGGGAAAAAGUAGAAAAUUCUUCAGGGCACGUUAUUGAUAUUUUAUGAGAAUUUGAUAAAGCAGAGCAUUAGAGAGUGAGUGCUAAAUUUGUGCAGGGUAAUAAAGGCUUCAGUAGGUAAUAAGAAUCUUGGACCCUGCACACAUAAGUUGCUCUAAGAGGCUUAGUAAUUGCCUAAAUGAAAGGACAUUGCCAUUUCUGCAAUCACAAUUCAAAUCCAGGGGUCACUUAUGGUUGACAAUGUUAUUGAUGCUGUUCCUUCUUCUGUGGCACAGGAAGCUUUUAGCAUGAAGCAGUUUUCAGCUGUUUCCUGUAUAUUGUUCAUUUCACCAUCAUUUCAAUGAGAUAUUUUACCUUUGUUUAGAAAACAUUUUGAAUACUAGAGCCUUCUCAUAUAAAGCUUUGUGGUCUGAAUAUAACAUCAAUGAUAUGAAUGUGAGCAACAAAGAAAAUUUGAUGAAAACGAAGUCCAAAGUACUUACAUCAGUGACAUUUUUGUUUUUAUACUCCUGGAGAUUAUCACAUGCAGAAUUAUAAUUCUAAUCAUACUUUCAUCUUCUUCAGGUGAAUCAAACAAAUUCAAGAUAUAUUAAAGGGAUGCACUCACAUUUGAAAUUGUCCUAAAUAAUCUUGACCCAAAGUACAUGACAAGCUCAUUACUCUCUUGAAUUAUAAUAUUGAUAAUCCAUGUCCAAUGCCUUGUUAGAGGAAUAACUCGGGUGACAGCAAGAUAAUGUUCCCCAGUAAUUUACUGUGUUGGGGAUCCCCAAGACCACCCCCUGGUUUGAUACUUCCCUAUAAGGACUCACAGGACUCAACUUAUAAUCAUGUUCAUGGCAAAGAUUGGUUACAGGGAAAAGGAACAAAUCAAAAUCAAGAAAGGGAGAAAGCACAUGGGGCAGACGUCAGAGGAAACCAGGCAUAAGCUAUCAAGAGUUGUCUUCCAGGGGAGUCACACAGAACGUUCUUUAUUCCCCCAGCCAGUGAUUUGUAACAACAUGUGUGAAAUUUUAUCUGCCAGGGAAGCUUGUUAGAGACUCAGCACCCUGGGUUUUUAUUGGGGGCUGGUCACAUGGGCACUCUCUAUGUAGCUUGUACCAAAAUGUCAGGUUUCCAAAAGGAAAGCAGAUGUCUAGCAUAAACCAUAUUGUUUAUGUAAUUUAGGCACAGUGAGCCACUCUUAUUAUUUAGGGAGAGUUUUAUAUUAGUGCAGGGAACCAUUUGCCACACAAGCUCAUAGACACCAGCCAAGAGACAACCUUGCAAGCAGAUGUCUCCAAAGAUAGCAGUUCCAGGCUCUUUUCUGCAAAUAUGCCAAGGUAAAUUUCUGGACUAUUUUUUAAGACUGAAGAGAAGAGAUCUUAGCUUUUCUGGACAACCCUGAACUUGACUUAUCUAAUGAAACUGUCAGAAAUGGUAGCAAGGCUCCAUAAUAUAGGUCACUGCCAAGUGACAAGUGAAUAGGCUCUUUGAACAUAUUUCAUCACUGCCACCCAUCCACUGCUUUUUCAUUUCUUUUCCGAAGAAACCCUCAUCCCCACUUCCCAUUUUAAAGAAAAGAAUCUGAUAAAGCAUUCAGAAAGGUCAGAAUCCCGUCUACCAAAAGUAUGUUUAAUUCUACAAAAGGGCAUCUUCACAAAUAUCAAAAAAGAGGCAAAUAUUUUCUGUUAGAGAUUCAAGAGUCUUGAAGCAAUUAAAGUCAAUUCUUUUUUCUUUCAAAACUAUAAGUUUGAAAAUGAGACACAAAAACAUGGAAGUCAUUUUAGACAUCACCCCCUUUUCAGCCAUUAUAUUGUCAAUUACUAAACUUAUAGUGUCAAUGUUAGUUCCUAAAAUAUUUCCCAAAUCUGUCUACCUUUCUCUAUGUCCACUCUGUGACUCUAGUCCAAGCAACCAUUAUAAAAUGAUGAUAUAACAAUAUAGACCCCUAAUUGGCCUUCUUGCUUUCCAUGUUGAUCUUGCUUUAUCCAUUCUCUAUUUUACAGAAUGAUCUUUCGAUAACACUGAUCAUUUCAGGAUACGCUUAAUGUCUUUCCAUAUAUUGAACACCCAAAUUAUUUGUAGGUCUUAUCUGGUUAUGCAUCAUCUCAACAUUAGCACCUUCACUUUAUGCCUUUUGUUUUCUAAAUUCCAGUCAUACAGACUUUUAUACAAUGUUGUUUCUGCCUAUCAGCUGCUCUUGCCAACACCCUCUGUUCUUACUUGGUUAAUUUCUCAUCAUCCUUUUGGUCUUGACUUAAAAUGUUACCUCCUUUGAAAAGCCUUUCCUCAUUGCUGUUUUCUUUCAAAGUACACAUGCCUUGCUCCUUUCUUUCAAAAUGUACCUUUCAAAGUGCACACGUGCACGCACACACACAAACACACACACACACACACACACACUCUUGGUUGUAUUUCCCACUGGGUAUUCUUUAGCAUGUCAUAAUUCUCCUUUAAAGAUAUAUUGGAAUUAAAUCUAAUUAUGUGCAUACUAAGUUGUAUGUUGGAUGUCUCUACCUUUACAGUAUAAGCCACCUGAGGGCCGCGACUCCUUUUAUUUUGUUUAUUUCUCUAUCCCCAGUAUCUAGCACAGUACCUUGCAGACACUAGAUGCUAAAUAUAAAUGGAAUGAAUCAUCAAUCAAUAUAUCAUUAUUUCUAUGCCUCACAGGAUGUGUUUUCCCACUUUUUUUUUAACUAGAUGCUUAGAUGAAAUUCAUCUCUCUUUCUCAAAGAGCUUUUCCUGCAUCUGAAUCAGACAUCUAGUAUGCACCUGUGGCUUCUUCUCAGUUUCCAUCUAAAAGAAAAAAAAGGAAGAGUUCUUGCCUUUGAUUAUCAAUCACAUUUCAUUUACUCACAGAUGUUGAACUUUGAAUGUUGUUCUUAUUUCCCUGUCUAUGACAUCUUCCUGUUUAUUCAGUCUUAAAAUCAAGACAUUCAGAAAUUUUCUUCCCAUUAGCUCGGGUAGAGUUGGAUUAAAAACUUUUGAGUUUAGCUUUCAUACAAAUGUAAUUCAUAAAACAAACCAUUACUAACUAUAAAGCAAUGAACUGUGUUGGACUUAAAAUAGCAUCUUCCUAGAUGUUCUAGUUGCAAAAAUAUAGACAAAAUUUCUCCAUCCUGUUUCUCUCUCCUUCUCUUUGGUAGUUAAAUAGGAAGUACAUAAGACACAAUUUGUUUGUUUAGUUGGAUAAUACAGCACUGGAUGUAGCCCUGAAAAUAUGCCAUACCCAUUACCCAAACUUCCCUCCCAAGGACUUUUUCUACCUGACUUAUAUGGAAUCCAAUCACACGCCAUGCUGACACAGAAUUUUUCAAGGUUUUGAGGUUUAUCUAGCGCUUUAGUUUUUAUUUUAUGUAAACACAAUUCACUAAACACCACUGCCACUUUUUUUUAAUGCCUGAUAACCUUUUGAUAAGUGAUAUAACUGACCCAUUUUCCAGCUGUAAAAACACUGGAUCCAGGUGACUGACAGAAAUUACUCACCAGCCAAGGCCAGGCGCGGUGGCUCGUGCCUGUAAUCCCAGCACUU